rnacentral:lncRNA from 1 species
UGUGUGUGUGUGUGUGUGUGUGUAUAUAUAUAUAUAUAUAUAUAUAUUUUUAGAUGGAGUCUCGCUCUGUCGCCCAGGCUGGACAGGCUGGAGUGCAGUGUCAGGAUCUCGGCUCACCGCAACCUCCACCUCCCGGGUUCAAGCAAUUCUCCUGUCUCAGCCUCCCGAGUAGCUGGGACUACAGGCCAUUAUGCCCAGCUAAUUUUUGUAUUUUUAGUAGAGACGGGGUUUCACCUUGUUGGUCAGGCUGGUCUCAAACUCCUGACCCCAAGUGGUCCACCUGCC